AGCAGCUUGGCUCAGUGGCAAGAGCACUGGCUUGGGAGUCAGGGAUCAUGGGUUCUAAUCCCAGCUCUGCCA
rfam:Ornithorhynchus anatinus chromosome 2, whole genome shotgun sequence.